GCCAGACUCCUACGGGAGGCAGCAGUGGGGGAUAUUGCACAAUGGGGGGAACCCUGAUGCAGCGACGCCGCGUGGGUGAAGGAGCGUUUCGGCGCGUAAAGCCCUAUCGGCAGGGAAGAAGGAGGACGGUACCUGACUAAGAAGCCCCGGCUAACUACGUGCCAGCAGCCGCGGUAAUACGUAGGGGGCAAGCGUUAUCCGGAUUUACUGGGUGUAAAGGGGGCGCAGACGGCAGCGCAAGCCAGGAGUGAAAGCCCGGGGCCCAACCCCGGGACUGCUCUUGGAACUGCGCGGCUGGAGUGCAGGAGGGGCAGGCGGAAUUCCUGGUGUAGCGGUGAAAUGCGUAGAUAUCAGGAGGAACACCGGUGGCGAAGGCGGCCUGCUGGACUGCGACUGACGUUGAGGCCCGAAAGCGUGGGGAGCAAACAGGAUUAGAUACCCCAGUAACA
rnacentral:rRNA from 1 species